rnacentral:rRNA from 1 species
AUGAACGCUAGCGACAGGCCUAACACAUGCAAGUCGAGGGGCAGCACAAGGAGCAAUCUGAGGUGGCGACCGGCGCACGGGUGAGUAACACGUAUGCGACCUGCCUGUAAGCGGGGAAUAACCCGUUGAAAGACGGACUAAUACCGCAUAAUACUAAAUUACUGCAUGGUAAUUUAUUUAAACAUUUAUGGCUUACAGAUGGGCAUGCGCAUGAUUAGCUAGUUGGAGAGGUAACGGCUCCCCAAGGCAACGAUCAUUAGGGGUUCUGAGAGGAAGGUCCCCCACACUGGUACUGAGACGCGGACCAGACUCCUACGGGAGGCAGCAGUGAGGAAUAUUGGUCAAUGGACGAGAGUCUGAACCAGCCAAGUCGCGUGCAGGAAGAAUGUCCUAUUGGAUUGUAAACUGCUUUUGCAGGGGAAUAAAGUGCAUCACGUGUGAUGUUUUGUAUGUACUCUGCGAAUAAGGAUCGGCUAACUCCGUGCCAGCAGCUGC